rnacentral:rRNA from 1 species
UACGUAGGGUGCGAGCGUUGUCCGGAAUUACUGGGCGUAAAGCGUGCGUAGACGGUUAUGUAAGUCGGGUGUGAAAGCCCCGGGCUCAACCUGGGAAUUGCAUUCGAGACUGUGUAGCUAGGGUACGGAAGAGGGAAGCGGAAUUUCAGGUGUAGCGGUGAAAUGCGUAGAUAUCUGAAGGAACACCAGUGGCGAAAGCGGCUUCCUGGUCCAGUACCGACGUUCAGGCACGAAAGCGUGGGGAGCAAACAGG